UCCGGUGGUUGUAUCGGUAGGGUCACACCCGUUCCCAUCCCGAACACGGCAGUUAAGCCUACUGGAGCCGAUGAUACUGCAUCUUUCAGGUGUGGGAAAGUAGGAAGCCGCCGGAU
rnacentral:rRNA from 1 species